GGUCAAGGGACAGAGCGAGCUGCUCAGCCACAGCUCUGGAGGUUCACAGAGCUUUCUUCAAACUUCGUCGUCGCCCGGACAACUCCUCAGAACGGUUCAUACGAGGUGCCGCAAGCAGGAGAUUGCCGGAGACUACAGCUGUAACUCGUUGGUUCAUCAGCUGGGAAGCAUAAAGAGGAUGGAUUGCCAGCACUUCACUGCCUGAGUGCUUUGCCCUCCAUGGUGUGAUCUCUGGCUGAUCUGAUCCAGACCUCUGUUUGUUGUGUGGACUCCUUCCUGGACUAGGACUGAACCUGGCAGACUGUGCUCCUCUCCUGACUCUGUGCCUCUCCCUGGCGGGUUCCACGCUCCCCCCCCCCACCAGUAAGAAACGUUAACCUUUAGGCCACAUUCUGAGGUUCAGUCUUUAACCGUUUCCCCUAUUGUCUCACACAGUGAUGGGGAUUAGGUUCACCGCUUUUCAUUAGUGCCUGACUGUGUUUUCAAUAAAC